UGUUUUGAGCAUUCUCUUAUUUGUCUUCUCUCUGUUUCCCUCAUAACAUUUGCUGGAAGAAGCCAGCUGCUAUGAAGGCCUGUGGAGAGACCCAUGUGAUAAGGAACUUAAUCCUGUUACCAGGCACCACCUGAGCAAGGUUGGAAGCCAACAUUGCAGCCCUGCAGCUGACAGCUUGACUACAACCUCAUGGUCGACCCUGAGCCAGAACUGCUAAGCUGCUCCAGAAUUCUUGACACAAAGAAACUAGGAGUGCGUCUCCCCAAAACAUUAUGAAGAUUUAAAAAUGAUCCACCUGUUGUCCUAUCACAUAUUUCCCAGUUUGUUAUAUUACUUCAUUGCAAAUCUCAGCAGCAAAAGACCCCACUGGCAACAUGGCCAGAGACCUGCUGGGUGGUGAAUACCUGGAGGGAAAUCAUGCAUAGAAGCAAGGAGACAAGGCACAAACUUGAAUUAUAGAAAAUUGUCACCGUAUAAAUCAGCAAGC